GACUUGGCCCUGCGCGGCAGAGCCUUCGAAUCUGGUCAGGCCUGAGAGGGAGCAGCCAUAAGGAGUCUCCUCUGGGUGUCGUAGGAUCACCGGGUCUGA
rnacentral:SRP_RNA from 1 species